rnacentral:tRNA from 1 species
AGGGAGACCUAAUUCAGGUAUAAGACGAAAAAAAAGUAGUCCCUACCAAGAAUCAAUCCCAAAAGGUCGGAACGAGGUAUGAGGCUUUCAAACUAGGUUCUGGGUUCAUAAAAGACCUGAAUCAGGAACAAGGGCUAUUAGCUCAGGUGGUUAGAGCGCACCCCCGAUAAGGGUGAGGUCCCUGGUUCGAGUCCAGGAUGGCCCACCUGCACAGGUGGCAAAAACAAGAGAAGCGAGGAAUCAGCACCUUAUCUUAUAUACAUAUAUAAGAGAGAAUGCUGGCUCUGAGUACAGAGUCCAGAGGAACCUUGAAAACUGCAUAGAGCUAGGUGAAAAAGCCAAAAAAGAAGACCGCAA